UCUUUUCCCCUAUUUUCUUUUCUUUCUUUGGUGUAAAAACAGUGCCCUUUAUAUAGUGGGUGAAAUUAAAUCAUAAGCUUUCAUUACAGGAUGAGACCUAUACCCACAAUUUCUUAUUUCCAUUUUUUUUUUAAUUUUUUUUGGGAUGUACAACAUAUUAUAUAAACAUUGAAUUCAUACUCUCACAAAAAGAUAGAAACAAGAAAGUGUCAAUCAAUGAAUAUGUUAUAAAAUUAUUAUUUAAAUUAAUAUUUGAAGUUACUUAAAUAUACCUUAUAAAACUAUUAUUCGUUUAGUUAAUAAAAUAAUUAGCCUAAUUAAUAAAUUUUAUUUUAGUAAUAUAAUAAAUAAUGCUACAUUUUGAAUAAGUUUAAAAAUUGUGCCUAAUUCUUUUAUAAGUAUAUAUUUAUUUAACUAUAACUAAAUAUCAUUUGUAAGGAUAAUAAGGAUUAAGCUAGUAUGAAUUUAUAUUAAAAGACUAAAAUAAUAGAUUAUAAAAUCUGUUAAAUUUAAUAAAGUUUGAAAUUUGUAGUCACAAUAUUUUGAGAAAAUUGGUAUAUAAAUUUUUUCUUUUAUUUAUCGUUAAAAUUUACUGUUAUAUAUAUUAUAUUAAAACUUACAUCAAAUUUAUUUAUAAAUUUACAUUUAAUUUAAUAAAAAAUAAAAUAUAUUAUUGUGAAAAAAAUAAAAAAUAGUUUCCUUGUAAAAUUAAAUAAUAUGUUUCAAAUAUAUUUAAAAUUAAUAGAAUAUAUAAAUUUUUGUUUGCACUUGCUUUCUAGUUUCCAAAGCAGUAUAUGAACAGGACUAGUUGGGACCCACUACAGUCAUCUCUACAUCUUAAAACCUUAUUCAAUUUCUCCCAAAAAAAAAAAAAAACCUACUCAAAUUGUUUUGGUUGAGGAAUUGAUAACCGUCGAUUUCUCCGAGUUAUCAACGGUUACAGUUAAAGUUGCUUUACCGUUUUGUAUUUUGUAUGCCAAAACUCUCUCUCUCUCUCUCUCUCUCUCUCUCUUUCUCUCUCUUGUUUUUCUCUCUGUCGCCCUCCUUCCCGUUGCCGCGAAUGCCAAUUGCUCCUUCCGGAAAAUCCAUCUGUUACGAAACAAUUUGAUUAGAUGACUGGGCCGUCGAAUUCUUAAUCUUCUUAUCAAAUUAUAGGGUCACUCAGUUCCAGAAUAAGAAAGUUUCUCUUUUCUUGGUAGAAUAUUGAUUUUCAGAGGAGGGAAGAGCCUACGUUUUUCACUCUCUAGUUGUUUUUUCGAAAUUUUGUUUUCGCGUUUACUGCAUUUUAUCGUGUUUUCCUUUUGGGAUUAGGAUUUCCUUGUUCGAAUGUAUUUUCUUUUAGUAUAGCUCAAAACCCCUGUUUUUGUUUUUUAUUUGAAACUUUUCACCCAAUUCGCUGUUUUGAGGAUUUCGCGGUGCUUCUUUGGUUUUCCUUUCAAAAACCCAAUUCACUGUAAGUUUUUUGUUCUCUUGCAGUUUUCGGUUUUGACUAUGGUUUGCUUUUGAUGGGUUUGGGAUUUCUAGGGUUUAGGAUCUCUCGCUUCAAUCGAUGGGUGCCCUUAGCAGCAACCGUAAGCGAGGCGACGAAUAUUUCAGCCCUAAUCACCUAAAUCCGUAUCAAAAUUCACCUUCUCUUCCCGCUUCGAAGAAACCUAGAUUCUCGUUUCUGCAUCCGAGCCCGGAUAAGCCAGUUUUAUCUUCAAAUAGUACGGUCGCCAGAAUCUCCCGGUACCCAGCAAUCAAGCCGCCGUUGUGCAGAGAAGUUCAUGCUCCUUGCAGGAUUCUCAAAUUCAGGUUACCAUCUCGUUCAAAUCAANN
rnacentral:lncRNA from 1 species